rnacentral:rRNA from 1 species
UUAACGGCANCACAGAAGAGCUUGCUCUUUGGGUGGCGAGUGGCGGACGGGUGAGUAAUGUCUGGGAAACUGCCCGAUGGAGGGGGAUAACUACUGGAAACGGUAGCUAAUACCGCAUAACGUCGCAAGACCAAAGUGGGGGACCUUCGGGCCUCACACCAUCGGAUGUGCCCAGAUGGGAUUAGCUAGUAGGUGGGGUAAUGGCUCACCUAGGCGACGAUCCCUANCUGGUCUGAGAGGAUGACCAGCCACACUGGAACUGAGACACGGUCCANACUCCUANCGGGAGGCAGCAGUGGGG